GUAGGAUCUGCUACAUAUGUAGCUAACAUUUGGCACUGUUGCUAUAUUAUAAAUUCUGUUUACUGAAGAUGCGGCCAACUUUUGUUUUCGCUGUCGUCCUGGUUCUAGCGUUACUUACGUGGACCUCCAUACAAGGAUUUCCCGUAAACACUGAUACAGCAGCUGAGGAGCAUGACAUUCAUAAACGUCAGGCGUUAAAUGUAGGAGGGAAUGGCACUACCAUCUGUUACACAUGUCAAGGUUGGAAUAACCCAGGUAUGGGAGGAAGGUAAUUUCCCUAUCGCCUUACGUGAUCAACUCUGUCAAAGUGAUCUGAUUCCUUGAUGCCAGCUUAUUAUUAAAGUUUAAU